rnacentral:rRNA from 1 species
CCUACGGGGGGCAGCAGUCGAGAAUCUUUCACAAUGGGGGCAACCCUGAUGGAGCGACGCCGCGUGGAGGAUAAGGUCUUCGGAUUGUAAACUCCUGUCAUGCGAGAACAAGGUUGCAGGGCUAACACCUUUGCAAAUUGAUGGUACCGCAAGAGGAAGAGACGGCUAACUCUGUGCCAGCAGCCGCGGUAAUACAGAGGCGUCAAGCCUGGGUGUGAAUCGCUGGUCGUAAGGGUUGCAAGUCUGACGUGAAAGCCCGGGGCUCAACCUCGGAAUUGCAUCCGAUACUGCCAUGCUGGAGUACUGAAGAGGUGACUAGAAUUCUAGGUGUAGCAGUGAAAUGCGUAGAUAUCUAGAGGAAUACCAACGGCGAAGGCAGGUCACUGGGCAGUUACUGACACUGAGGCACGAAGGCCAGGGGAGCAAACGGGAUUAGAUACCCUAGUAGUC